AGUGGACGUAAAAGAUGCAUGAAAUUUGUUGGAAGAAAGAUUUCACAUGAGUGGUGUCCAGCUGAAGGGUCACAGAUAAGCCGAUGAUACACUGGAAUGGUUUUAGAUUGUAUCAAGGGAAAAGAUGGUGACAGGAAAGCUGUUUAUGAAGUUGCAUAUGAGGGGGAGGCAGCUUCCAGCACAGUAUCAAAUUUGCAGCAAGACUUGGACAAAGGUUCCCUGAAGUUUAUAGAUAUUUAGUCAGCCAGUCGCCUAUCCAGUCAGUCACCACUGCAG